AUGGCUAGGGUUUCGGGCAGGGCUUCACCGGCGCGUCUCCGGCGGCCCAGGUUCGUCCCUCCUUCCUUCUUGGCCGGGAUCCACCACCCCUACACCUCACAUUCUCUUCAUGUCCUCUGCUGCAGAUGCAGAUGGAGCACGCCAUGGGAGUUCCCCAUCCACCAUGGUCGUCGCCGUCAAGGGCUUCUUCACCGAGAUGUGGAGGACGCCAUGGACUUGCAGCUCCUCAAGGCCACAGACCGUCGAAGAUUAACCAGCGAAAAAACGGCAUUGGUCUUGAACGAGUACGGGCUCGCCUCCUCUCCCUCUCGCUCAAGUCCUCGCCGUCGCCACCACCACCCACGCCGGCAGCUUCCGGCGAGCUCCGGCGCCCCGCAGCACACCCCCGAACUCCCCACGGUCCGCUCCUCCCUACCCUCCGGCCAGAUUCUCCGCUCCCGGUCUCUACCGCCCGCUCGAAACGCUACCCCCAUGGCUAGGAUUUCAGGCAGGGCUUCACCGGCGCGUCUCCGGCGGCCCAGAUGCAGAUGGAGCACGCCAUGGGAGUUCCCCAUCCACCAUGGUCGCCGCCGUCAAGGGCUUCUUCACGGAGAUGUGGAGGACGCCAUGGACCUGCAGCUCCUCAAGGUCAACAGGGAGGAACCCUAG
rnacentral:rRNA from 1 species